rnacentral:rRNA from 1 species
AUAUUGGGUUUAAGGGUCCGUAGGCGGGCCGAUAAGUCAGGGGUGAAAGUUUGCAGCUCAACUGUAAAAUUGCCUUUGAUACUGUUGGUCUUGAGUUAUAGUGAAGUUGCCGGAAUAUGUAGUGUAGCGGUGAAAUGCAUAGAUAUUACAUAGAACACCGAUUGCGAAGGCAGGUGACUAACUAUAUACUGACGCUGAUGGACGAAAGCGUGGGGAGCGAACAGGAUUAGAUACCCUGGUAGUCCACGCCGUAAACGAUGGAUACUAGCUGUCCGGAACCUUGAGUUCUGGGCGGCCAAGCGAAAGUGAUAAGUAUCCCACCUGGGGAGUACGUUCGCAAGAAUGAAACUCAAAGGAAUUGACGGGGGCCCGCACAAGCGGUGGAGCAUGUGGUUUAAUUCGAUGAUACGCGAGGAACCUUACCAGGGCUUAAAUGCAUAUUGACAGGUCUAGAGAUAGAUUUUCCUUCGGGCAAUUUGCAAGGUGCUGCAUGGUUGUCGUCAGCUCGUGCCGUGAGGUGUCAGGUUAAGUCCUAUAACGAGCGCAACCCCUACCGUUAGUUGCCAGCAUGUCAUGAUGGGGACUCUAACGGGACUGCCGGUGCAAACCGUGAGGAAGGUGGGGAUGACGUCAAAUCAUCACGGCCCUUACGUCCUGGGCCACACACGUGCUACAAUGGCAGGUACAGAGAGCAGCCAUGUCGCAAGGCAGAGCGAAUCUACAAAACCUGUCACAGUUCGGAUCGGGGUCUGCAACUCGACCCCGUGAAGCUGGAAUCGCUAGUAAUCGGAUAUCAGCCAUGAUCCGGUGAAUACGUUCCCCGGGCCUUGUACACACCGCCCGUCAAGCCAUGGAAGCCCGGGAGUGCCUGAAGUCCGUCACCGUAAGGAGCGGCCUA